CCAGCUCAGUCAGGAGAGCAUGAAACUCUUAAUUUCAGGGUCCUGGGUUUGAGUCCUACACAGGGGGCUGGA